UAGAGUUUGAUCAUGGCUCAGAUUGAACGCUGGCGGCAGGCCUAACACAUGCAAGUCGAGCGGUAACAGAUUGAUAGCUUGCUAUCAAUGCUGACGAGCGGCGGACGGGUGAGUAAUGCCUGGGAAUAUACCCUGAUGUGGGGGAUAACUAUUGGAAACGAUAGCUAAUACCGCAUAAUCUCUUCGGAGCAAAGAGGGGGACCUUCGGGCCUCUCGCGUCAGGAUUAGCCCAGGUGGGAUUAGCUAGUUGGUGGGGUAAUGGCUCACCAAGGCGACGAUCCCUAGCUGGUCUGAGAGGAUGAUCAGCCACACUGGAACUGAGACACGGUCCAGACUCCUACGGGAGGCAGCAGUGGGGAAUAUUGCACAAUGGGGGAAACCCUGAUGCAGCCAUGCCGCGUGUAUGAAGAAGGCCUUCGGGUUGUAAAGUACUUUCAGUUGUGAGGAAGGCAGUUAAGUUAAUAGCUUAGUUGUUUGACGUUAGCAACAGAAGAAGCACCGGCUGACUCCGUGCCAGCAGCCGCGGUAAUACGGAGGGUGCGAGCGUUAAUCGGAAUUACUGGGCGUAAAGCGCAUGCAGGCGGUCUGUUAAGCAAGAUGUGAAAGCCCGGGGCUCAACCUCGGAACAGCAUUUUGAACUGGCAGACUAGAGUCCUGUAGAGGGGGGUAGAAUUUCA
rnacentral:rRNA from 1 species